ACACUGAUGGUGAAGCGGUUAUCAUGCUUGCCUUCCAGCCAGAUUACGUAAGCCGAUCGUAAUCAGUCAGCAAGCGGCAGGGGUUCGACUCCCCUUCAGUGUA